GUUCAGCCAGAACAUGCUGUCGUAGAUGACUGCAUGUGGAGAGGUUGCGAAGGUUGCAGGUGCAAAUGUACGGAGCCUCUGUUGUCGGCGUGGAGGAUUGGCAGAUGGGAACAGCUCAUCUUGGAAGUUGUGAAGCACGUGCCCACGAUGUGGCAG